UACAAGGCACUCAUGCUGGUGUUGUGAAGGGUGGAAGAGACCUGAAACAGCAUUGAGAUGGAUUAUUGUGGCUUCUCUGAUGUUUGAGUUAUUAGUAACUUCAAGCUUUUUCAGCCCUGGGUUACUGUUUUAGUUCUGAACAAAUGAUGACUUUUUAGCAAGAUAGAAAAGCAAGGUGAAAGAAUACUUCUCCAUCUCCCUACACACAGCUGGGCCUUAGCUUUGUAUCCUGAAACAUCUGGGUGUACAUCACGGUGUCAAGCUGAAGCAAUAAAGCAGCCAAACCUGGGUAUGACUUGCAAGGACAAAUACACUUGGGUCAUGAGGUGUAGCUCUCUAUGAAUUAUGUAUUUCUUCUGCACUUCAGAAGGAAUGUAAUUGUGC